rnacentral:rRNA from 1 species
CCUACGGGGGGCAGCAGUGGGGAAUAUUGCACAAUGGGGGAAACCCUGAUGCAGCGACGCCGCGUGAGUGAAGAAGUAUUUCGGUACGUAAAGCUCUAUCAGCAGGGAAGAAAAUGACGGUACCUGACUAAGAAGCCCCGGCUAACUACGUGCCAGCAGCCGCGGUAAUACGUAGGGGGCAAGCGUUAUCCGGAUUUACUGGGUGUAAAGGGAGCGUAGACGGCAGGGCAAGUCUGGAGUGAAAUCCCAUGGCUUAACCAUGGAACUGCUUUGGAAACUGUGCAGCUAGAGUGCAGGAGAGGUAAGCGGAAUUCCUAGUGUAGCGGUGAAAUGCGUAGAUAUUAGGAGGAACACCAGUGGCGAAGGCGGCUUACUGGACUAUAACUGACGUUGAGGCGCGAAAGCGUGGGGAGCAAACAGGAUUAGAUACCCCAGUAGUC